GAGUUUGAUCAUGGCUCAGAUUGAACGCUGGCGGCAUGCCUUACACAUGCAAGUCGAACGGCAGCACGGGAGCUUGCUCCUGGUGGCGAGUGGCGAACGGGUGAGUAAUGCAUCGGAACGUAUCCUGGAGUGGGGGAUAACGUAGCGAAAGUUACGCUAAUACCGCAUAUUCUGUGAGCAGGAAAGCGGGGGACCUUCGGGCCUCGCGCUCUUGGAGCGGCCGAUGUCGGAUUAGCUAGUUGGUGAGGUAAGGGCUCACCAAGGCGACGAUCCGUAGCAGGUCUGAGAGGAUGAUCUGCCACACUGGAACUGAGACACGGUCCAGACUCCUACGGGAGGCAGCAGUGGGGGAUUUUGGACAAUGGGGGCAACCCUGAUCCAGCCAUGCCGCGUGAGUGAAGAAGGCCUCGGUUGUAAG
rnacentral:rRNA from 1 species